rnacentral:lncRNA from 1 species
CCGGUUCAAGUGGGAACUCUCAUACCGUGCGGUAGGGAAAGUAAGACAUUCCUUCUUUCUUUCGGCUUGGAGAGUGCUUUGCUUAGAGAAUCUUGACUUUCUUCCUUGGGCAGAAAGUCAAGUCGGUUACGGGAAGAAAAACGCUAAACUCUUUGCUUUUUAGUCAAGCGCUCCUUCAAGCGAGAACCGAGGAAAGAGACAGAGCUUUCACCAGUACCUGAACCUGUGCCAGAGCCAGUACAACUCCAUCAAAGCGGGAGCCGGUUCAAGUCAGUAUUGCCGGGCGAGUCAGGUGCUAGCGGAAGUGGUAACUCAAACCGUUCGGAAAUUUGAAGUCUUUAAGUAAACUACUUUAAAGUCAAGCUCCUUAAAGCCGGAAGUAGAGCUAGUUCUUUCAAGCAAGUCCAGUCAGUCUAGUGAAAGCGGAAAGCUCAUAGUGAUAAAAGACACUCUUUCUGUUUUGAUCCGGCCAGAGAGAUCACUUUCCGUUGCAAAAGGGAUAGUGACAGUCGGAAGGCAGUGACGGUGAUAGAGAGAGAAAGUCAGUGUUGCAGGUCUAGUUCAGGGACUCUUUUGCAAGUUCUUCAAGCCUGCCGUGAAAACUCCUUCUGUUCUGUGCAAGUCCAUGGAGUUUUUUUCGGCUUUUGAGUCAGGAAAUCGCUCCACUUUCGGGCAAGUCAAGUUAGGGACGCUCGUCAGUAGAGCUUUCAGUUUGCUUUCCUUCCGGCUAGUGGGCUCGUUCCUCUAGGGCUAUCGGUUCAUAAGGAAAGCAGUUCCUUCUCUUCUUUCUGUUCUUGGGCGGUUUAUAGGGCAACUCGUUGAAACUACUCGUAGAUUCCUUUACGUUUCAGGCGCUUUUUCGGUAGAGUGAGAAGUAUAGUAGAAAUUUUGCUUUUCGAUGCGGAAAAAAGACGCAAGUGACGCACUCUUUCUGAAGGGUUAUUCGGUGACUUGAUGCUCGGCACCCUACUCAGCACUGUGCUACUCGGAAAGUUCAAAUUUUUGAUACUUGAUGCUUUAGUAUAUUUGGAGGCUUGGUAGGCACAAUAGGAGUUAUGUUGCCUUGAGGGGCUGCGUGGAGGCAGUUAUGGUGAUGUACGGAAGCACGUGUUGGCCACAGUACUAGUCCUAGGUUGUAAAUAUAAAUGAAUGGAUGGACGACCUGAUGCCCGUGUCCUAGUUAGUUGGCAGAGGAAGAUUCGAACUACCUAGUAGGCUUCCGUGGUCGGCUCCCCGGAUUUGAAAGUUCAGCCCUACCACCCUAUACUAGAGUAUAGUAUUUUUUCCCUAUCUAAGCUAUUGAGGCCUCAAACUCAUCCGCUUGUAAAUUCUUUGUGUAA